UUUAUUAGAAGAGACGCAUUUAUUAGAUAAAAAGCCAAUGCAUGCUUUUACAGUAUGGAAAUUGGUGAUUUAUAAUAACUUGGCAAAUCGCAAAGUGAAAACAGGCGAUAAAUCAUUCAAGUUUCUGACCUAUCAGCUUUCGACGGUAUGGUAUUGGCUUACCGUGGCAGUGACGGUUAACGGGGGAUUAGGGUUCGAUUCCGGAGAGGGAGCCUGAGAAACGGCUACCACAUCUAAGGAAGGCAGCAGGCGCGCAAAUUACCCAAUUCUAACAGUUUGAGAGAGGUAGUAACAAGAAAUAACAAUACAAGGCAAUUAAAAUGUUUUGUAAUUGGAAUGAUAGAAAUUUAAACCCUUUUUAAAGUAUCAAUUGGAGGGCAAGUCUGGUGCCAGCAGCCGCGGUAAUUCCAGCUCCAAUAGCGUAUAUUAAAAUUGUUGCAGUUAAAAAGCUCGUAGUUGAAGUUCUGCUAAAAGUAACCGGUCUGCUUUUAAUAAAAGUGGUAUCUUGGUGUGUAUUUAGCAAUGAUGUCCUUUGAAGUGUUUUUUACUUUAUUGUAAUAAAGCAUAUUCAGGACUUUUACUUUGAGAAAAUUAGAGUGUUUCUAGCAGGCCGACGCUUUGAAUAC
rnacentral:rRNA from 1 species